GGUCCAGACUUUGAUUCUGGCUCAGGAUUAACGCUGGCGGCAUGCCUAAGACAUGCAAGUCGAACGGAACACCCCACCGAAAUCUGAAUGAAGUCUGAGAGCUUGCUCAAAGAUGGAAUGACGGUGGACGUGGAUUCUGUGUUCAGUGGCGAACGGGUGAGUAACACGUGGGUUACCUGCCUCUAAGUUGGGGACAACAGUUGGAAACGACUGCUAAUACCGAAUGUGAUAGUAAUAUUAAAGGAGCCUUUAAAGCUUCGCUUAGAGAUGGGCCUGCGGCGUAUUAGCUAGUUGGUGGGGUAAUGGCCUACCAAGGCAACGAUGCGUAGCCGGACUGAGAGGUUGAUCGGCCACACUGGGACUGAGACACGGCCCAGACUCCUACGGGAGACAGCAGUUAGGAAUAUUCGGCAAUGGGGGAAACCCUGACCGAGCAAUGCCGCGUGUGAGAUGAAGGUCCUUCGGAUUGUAAAUCACUUUUAUUUGGGAAGAACUGUAAGUAGAGGAAAUGAUACUUACUUGACGGUACCUUUUGAAUAAGCCCCGGCUAACUACGUGCCAGCAGCCGCGGUAAUACGUAGGGGGCGAGCGUUAUCCGGAUUUAUUGGGCGUAAAGCGUGCGUAGGCGGUUUAUUAAGUCUAGAAUUAAAGCCCGAGGCUUAACCUCGGUUCGUUCUAGAUACUGGUUGACUAGAGUACAGUAGAGGCAAAUGGAAUUCCUAGUGUAGCGGUGGAAUGCGUAGAUAUUAGGAGGAACACCAGUGGCGAAGGCGAUUUGCUGGGCUGUAACUGACGCUGAGGUACGAAAGCGUGGGUAGCAAAUAGGAUUAGAUACCCUAGUAGUCCACGCUGUAAACGAUGAGCACUAAGUGUCGGGUUACCGGUGCUGAAGUUAACACAUUAAGUGCUCCGCCUGAGUAGUACGGUCGCAAGACUGCAACUCAAAGGAAUUGACGG
rnacentral:rRNA from 2 species